AUUGAACGCUGGCGGCAUGCCUUACACAUGCAAGUCGAACGGCAGCGGGGACUUCGGUCCGCCGGCGAGUGGCGCACGGGUGAGUAAUGUAUCGGAACGUACCAUUCAGUGUGGGAUAACUAUCCGAAAGGAUAGCUAAUACCGCAUAUUCUUAGAGCAGGAAAGCACGGGAGCGCAAGACCUUGCGCUGGUUGAGCGGCCGAUAGCAGUUUAGCUAGUUGGUGGUGUAACGGCUCACCAAGGCUACGAUCUGUAGCGGGUCUGAGAGGAGGAUCCGCCACACUGGGACUGAGACACGGCCCAGACUCCUACGGGAGGCAGCAGUGGGGAAUUUUGGACAAUGGGCGCAAGCCUGAUCCAGCCAUGCCGCGUGAGUGAAGAAGGCCUUCGGGUUGUAAAGCUCUUUCGGCCGGGAAGAAAUCGCAUCAGCUAAUACCUGGUGUGGAUGACGGUACCGGAAUAAGAAGCACCGGCUAACUACGUGCCAGCCGCCGCGGUAACAC
rnacentral:rRNA from 1 species